GAUGAACGCUGGCGGCGUGCCUAAUACAUGCAAGUCGAGCGAACAGACGAGAAGCUUGCUCCUCUGACGUUAGCGGCGGACGGGUGAGUAACACGUGGAUAACCUACCUAUAAGACUGGGAUAACUUCGGGAAACCGGAGCUAAUACCGGAUAAUAUAUUGAACCGCAUGGUUCAAUAGUGAAAGACGGUUUUGCUGUCACUUAUAGAUGGAUCCGCGCCGCAUUAGCUAGUUGGUAAGGUAACGGCUUACCAAGGCAACGAUGCGUAGCCGACCUGAGAGGGUGAGCGGCCACACUGGAACUGAGACACGGUCCAGACUCCUACGGGAGGCAGCAGUAGGGAAUCUUCCGCAAUGGGCGAAAGCCUGACGGAGCAACGCCGCGUGAGUGAUGAAGGUCUUCGGAUCGUAAAACUCUGUUAUUAGGGAAGAACAAAUGUGUAAGUAACUAUGCACGUCUUGACGGUACCUAAUCAGAAAGCCACGGCUAACUACGUG
rnacentral:rRNA from 1 species